UACGGAGGGGGCUAGCGUUGUUCGGAAUUACUGGGCGUAAAGCGCACGUAGGCGGCUUUGUAAGUUAGAGGUGAAAGCCCGGAGCUCAACUCCGGAAUUGCCUUUAAGACUGCAUCGCUAGAAUUGUGGAGAGGUAAGUGGAAUUCCCAGUGUAGAGGUGAAAUUCGUAGAUAUUGGGAAGAACACCGGUGGCGAAGGCGGCUCACUGGCUCAUUACUGACGCUCAGGCGCGACAGCGUGGGGAGUCAAACAGGAU
rnacentral:rRNA from 1 species